rnacentral:rRNA from 1 species
CCACUAUGCUUAGCCCUUAACAUAGACAAUAAAAACACAAUAUUGUCCGCCAGAGAACUACAAGUGAAAAACUAGAAACUCCAAGGACUUGGCGGUGCCCCACAUCAACCUAGAGGAGCCUGUCCUAUAAUCGAUAAUCCACGCUGCACCUUACCAUUUCUAGNCAAUUCAGCCUAUAUACCGCCGUCGAAAGCCUACCUUAUGAAAGAAUCAAAGUAGGCAAAAUAGUCAACAACUAAAACGUCAGGUCAAGGUGUAGCACAUGAAAUGGAAGAGAUGGGCUACAUUUUCUACCUUAGAAAACACGAACAGCACAAUGAAACCUGUACUCAAAGGCGGAUUUAGCAGUAAGACAAAAAAGAAACUUUAUCUUAAACACGCUCUGGGACGCGCACACACC